GAUGAACGCUGGCGGCGCGCCUAACACAUGCGAGUCGAACGAUUAAAGCACCUUCGGGUGUGUAUAAAGUGGCGAACGGCUGAGUAACACGUGGGCAACCUGCCCCUCUCAUUGGGAUAGCCACGGGAAACCGUGGAUAAUACCGAAUACUUCGGGACUUCCGCAUGGAAGACUCGAGAAAGCUCCGGCGGAGAGGGAUGGGCCCGCGGCCUGUUAGCUUGUUGGUGGGGUAAUGGCCUACCAAGGCAAUGAUGGGUAGCUGGGUUGAGAGACCGACCAGCCAGAUUGGGACUGAGACACGGCCCAGACUCCUACGGGAGGCAGCAGUGGGGAAUCUUGCACAAUGGGCGAAAGCCUGAUGCAGCGACGCCGCGUGCGGGAUGAAGGCCUUCGGGUUGUAAACCGCUUUCAGCAGGGACGAGGCGAAAGUGACGGUACCUGCAGAAGAAGCCCCGGCUAACUACGU
rnacentral:rRNA from 1 species